AUGUAACCCUAUAAAUAACUUUACAAAAAGCCAUUAAUAACAAACUAACCACAGCAGAGCGAGAGAGAGUUAGUGUUUCGUACACGGAUAUGCUCGAAGCAAAGCAUCGUAGACCUACUUAGAGGAGUAGAAUGUAGCGACGAAGUUAUACCGGAAAAGAAGUUGAGGCCUCUACUUAAUAUUGAAGAUUCUAUUUGCAAAAAUCGAUGUCUACAUCUUUCCACAGGCCCAUAAACCAAAACGUGGUUCCAUAGCGAACACGAAACCUAUAUGGUUGGACUAUAAAAUCCGAUGAAAUUUGUUACAUCGAGACACACCUAAGUGAAGUACUGUGAGCUGAUAUCUAUGUGCCACUUGUUCGGUAUCAUCCUUACCUCGACAAACUGCCCUCUCAGUUGGGUUCAGAUGAAAAAGAGACUUUGUCGAGGCACGGCUCAAUUGACCAGCAUCCAGACAACGGAGUGUGGAAAAAAAAUCUCCUUGGAGCAUUUCUUUAUCAAAUUUAGGAUUGCUAUCGAACAAGCGAGUAGUUCAGAGAAGGAGAUUCUGGCACUUCUACCGUGCAUCAAAUGAGAAGAAUAUACGUAUUCUGAGAUGUCCUUGGGUCGUUCUCUGUCCAUUUUGCAUGCCAAUCGAUCUACUCGGAAUCUGCACCGUUCGACUCGAGAAAAAUUCGCAGCAACUUUGAUCAAUUCUUACAAUGAUUAUCUCCGCGUAGAAUAAUUUUACGGUUAAGGGUGAAAUGCAGAGACGGCGACGUGACACAUUGUAGAGAGUACGGGAAGCACGUUUGAGAUUGGGCACAGCCGAAUGUGUUGAUUGCGUGGUUGAUUGAAUUAAUGUAGCCGUAAAAUUAAUCAAGUUACCGCUAGUUCAUUACUCAGAAAAGCUAAUAAAUUGGAUUAUCUCGAUUACUUUUGGUUGUACUUCAAUUUCCAAGUGUAAGAAUCGUGUUUUGAUGCUCAGAAAAUGCAGAAGAA
rnacentral:misc_RNA from 1 species